AGAGUUAGAGCCCUCAGCCUGGUACGUGCUGGAGCCGUCAUAGUUCCAGACAGGACAUUCUGAAGAAAAUGUCAUUACAUCUUAUAAAGUUGUUCUUUGCAUUACCUGUGGAUGAAGAACACGUCAUUACACGUCCAUCCUUCAGUAUUCAGAAGAUCAACAGGAUUAGGGGCCCGCCAAGUCAAUCAGGUGAACGGCAGAGUGCUGCCGGUUCUUGGUCACCCAAUUUACCGACUACCGUACAAUUGGCGACGGAACUGAAAACUUUACUAAUUCAAGAAGAGUCAGUUCACAAUUCAAUUUAUAUGAAGCCCUUUGGUGUAUUCAACAUUCUACAAACCACAGAGAUAUUGUCAAAAAAAUCUUUUUAUCAACAAAUAAACUUUUAAAAUAU
rnacentral:sRNA from 1 species